GUAAGGUUAGCAAGACCAUUGCCCUUACAUACAUUUUUAUUUAUGCACUUAUAGAUAAAUGGGAUUUAAAUAGUACAGCGUCAGAAAUGUUGGUGUGUCCGUAGUGCAGUCAUAGGGGUAGACUAUCACAACGGCCAUCGACCCGGAAUGCGGCCACCCUCCCAAAAAAGUACUUUAAUUCGCUUCCACGAGCAUCAGUUAGAUUUGUGGCCCAACUAGGCAGCACACCGAGUCCUCUACGGGCCUUUCGAAGUUUGGGAAGAAUGAGGAGUCCUUCAGGCCAGGGGUUGUCUUCAAAAUCACACUUUUCUGGACUAGUUACAGUACUAUAGGAUAGUCUUAGAGCCAAGAGCUUCAUUUGAACGGUAUGACCUGGAAAAGCAAGACCUGCAAGGAGCCUUUUUAAUCCAGAAAUUGCCUUCAUAAUUUUUCCAAUACUCAUUGUAUAUUUUGAUAAUCACAUGACCAUGAUCUUCAUUGGCA